rnacentral:misc_RNA from 1 species
AAAAAGAAUAUGCAAGAUUAUAUAUGUGCAUGCGGUCGUGCGUGUAUUUGUUGUGGCUAGACAGGUUUACAAUUGUUUCAGGCUUGCUACAGAUUUUUGGAGCCUUAAGCUAACCAUGUUUUGGCGCAAGUCAGUAGUGACAGGCAAAUCCACAUUUGAAGAGGAAGUUUGGACAAGAUAUUAAAAUGCACAUAGACAUUAUUGCAAUCCAAAUAUAGAAAAAAUGGAUUAGUGUAGCCCAAGGAACCUGAAUUUCAAAAUUCAACAAGUUAAAAAUACUCACUUCCAAACCAA